CAUAUUUAACCUAUACAUUAGAAACAAAAACAUUUUUUUUUUCAUAUAUCGAUUAAUUACUAGAAGAACUUAAUAUUGUAAUAAGUUUAAAGCUACUAUACUUUCGAAAGCAUAACACAGUUUGCGCUUUUAAUUUUUUGGCCCUUGCAUUAAGAACUGUAGGGUUGGGAUGAUAAUAGUUUUUUAGAGUUGAAUGCUCCUCCUAGAAUUUAGUGGUUUCGCUAGAAAAGUAAUAUUAAUUCAAGGAUUAGAAAUGAUCAAGGAGUUAAUCCAAAGAUUAAAAACUAGAAAUCGUCGACUCCUUUAUGCUUUUGGAAGCAUCAUAUAUAGUCGGAUUCUUGUAAUAAUAUAUUUUUCAAAUCUUGUGAUAAUUUAUAUAUAGACUCUUCAGAUGAUGUAAGAUGACAUCUAUCGUACUGAUUUUUUACGUGAGGUACGUGCAUGCAACAAUUUCUCGAAUCAAAGAUACAAUUGGAUUUCGCCUUGAUGCUAACCACCUUAGAUUUCACCACUUUUAUUAAAAUAAUAAUAAGUGCUUUAUUAUUUAGAAUACAUUUGGAGUAGGGAUGUCAAUGGGUAUGAAUAUCCGAAAUAUUAUCCGAACCCAAAGCCGAAUGGGGCGGGUUUACCUGAGCUAAACGGGUAUGGAUUUGGUUAUGGGUAUAGAAAAUAAAAACCCGACGGAUAUUGAUAUGGGUAUGGAUUUUGUAUUUACCCAACCCGAAUCCGAACCCGAACCCAAACCCGAAUAAAUUAUAUAUAUACAUACUUUAUUUUUAUUUAUUUAUAUAAUAUAUAAAAUAUUUAAUAAUUUUUAUCCUUUAGAUCUUCAUUUAACGGUAUGGAUUUUUAAAACCGGCCGGGUCCGGGUCCGGAUUCGGGUUUCGGGUUUUUGGUCGGGUACGGAUAUGGGUAUAGAUUUUUAAAACCCGCCGGGUUUGGGUCUGGGUACGGAUUUUAAUUUGGUUUUCGGGUUCGGGUUCGGAUUUUUAAAAA
rnacentral:lncRNA from 1 species